rnacentral:rRNA from 1 species
UACGUAGGUGGCAAGCGUUAUCCGGAUUUACUGGGUGUAAAGGGGGCGCAGACGGCGAUGCAAGCCAGGAGUGAAAGCCCGGGGCCCAACCCCGGGACUGCUCUUGGAACUGCGUGGCUGGAGUGCAGGAGGGGCAGGCGGAAUUCCUGGUGUAGCGGUGAAAUGCGUAGAUAUUAGGAGGAACACCAGUGGCGAAGGCGGCUUACUGGACUGUAACUGACGUUGAGGCUCGAAAGCGUGGGGAGCAAACAGG